rnacentral:rRNA from 1 species
GAUGAACGCUAGCGGCAGGCUUAACACAUGCAAGUCGAGGGGUAUAGGUUUUCGGACCUAGAGACCGGCGCACGGGUGCGUAACGCGUAUGCAAUCUACCUUUCACAGAGGGAUAGCCCAGAGAAAUUUGGAUUAAUACCUCAUAGUAUUAUGAAAUGGCAUCAUUUUAUAAUUAAAGUUCCAACGGUGAAAGAUGAGCAUGCGUCCCAUUAGCUAGAUGGUAAGGUAACGGCUUACCAUGGCAACGAUGGGUAGGGGUCCUGAGAGGGAGAUCCCCCACACUGGUACUGAGACACGGACCAGACUCGUACGGGAGGCAGCAGUGAAGAAUAUUGGUCAAUGGACGCAAGUCUGACCCAGCCAUGCCGCGUGCAGGAUGACGGUCCUAUGGAUUGUAAACUGCUUUUGUACGAGAAGAAACAUCCCGACGUGUCGGGACUUGACGGUAUCGUAAGAAUAAGGAUCGGCUAAUUCCGUGCCAGCCGCCGCCGUAAUAC